rnacentral:rRNA from 1 species
AUUGAACGCUGGCGGCAGGCUUAACACAUGCAAGUCGAGCGAGUGGCGGACGGGUGAGUAAUGUCUGGGAAUCUGGCUGAUGGAGGGGGAUAACUACGGGAAACGGUAGCUAAUACCGCAUACCAUAAGAUGAGCCCAAGUGGGAUUAGGUAGUUGGUGAGGUAAAGGCUCACCAAGGCGACGAUCCCUAGCUGGUCUGAGAGGAUGACCAGCCACACGGGGACUGAGACACGGCCCAGACUCCUACGGGAGGCAGCAGUGGGGAAUAUUGCGCAAUGGGCGCAAGCCUGACGCAGCCAUGCCGCGUGAGUGAAGAAGGCCUUCGGGUCGUAAAGUUCUUUCAGUAGGGAGGCGUUAACUACAGAAGAAGCACCGGCUAACUCCGUGCCAGCAGCCGCGGUAAUAC